GACGAACGCUGGCGGCGUGCUUAACACAUGCAAGUCGAACGAUGAAAGCGGAGCUUGCUCCGCUGGAUCAGUGGCGAACGGGUGAGUAACACGUGGGCAACCUGCCCCUCACUUCGGGAUAACUCCGGGAAACCGGGGCUAAUACCGGAUAUGACCUCCUUGGGCAUCCUUGGAGGUGGAAAGUUUUUCGGUGAGGGAUGGCCCGCGGCCUAUCAGCUUGUUGGUGAGGUAGUGGCUCACCAAGGCGACGACGGGUAGCCGGCCUGAGAGGGCGACCGGCCACACUGGGACUGAGACACGGCCCAGACUCCUACGGGAGGCAGCAGUGGGGAAUAUUGCGCAAUGGGCGAAAGCCUGACGCAGCAACGCCGCGUGCGGGAUGACGGCCUUCGGGUUGUAAACCGCUUUCAGCAGGGAAGAAGCCGCAAGGUGACGGUACCUGCAGAAGAAGCACCGGCUAACUACGUGCCAGCCGCCGCGGUAA
rnacentral:rRNA from 1 species